rnacentral:rRNA from 1 species
UAUAGUGACGGAGCACUACACCCUUUGUGACAUACCUACAACUGUUGCUUCGGCGGGUAGGGUCUCCGCGACCCUCCCGGCCUCCCGCCUCCGGGCGGGUCGGCGCCCGCCGGAGGAUAACCAAACUCUGAUUUAACGACGUUUCUUCUGAGUGGUACAAGCAAAUAAUCAAAACUUUUAACAACGGAUCUCUUGGUUCUGGCAUCGAUGAAGAACGCAGCGAAAUGCGAUAAGUAAUGUGAAUUGCAGAAUUCAGUGAAUCAUCGAAUCUUUGAACGCACAUUGCGCCCGCCAGCAUUCUGGCGGGCAUGCCUGUUCGAGCGUCAUUUCAACCCUCAAGCUCUGCUUGGUGUUGGGGCCCUACAGCCGAUGUAGGCCCUCAAAGGUAGUGGCGGACCCUCCCGGAGCCUCCUUUGCGUAGUAACUUUACGUCUCGCACUGGGAUCCGGAGGGACUCUUGCCGUAAAACCCCCCAAUUUUCCAAAGGUUGACCUCGGAUCAGGUAGGAAUACCCGCUGAACUUAAGCAUAUCAAUAAGGCGGAGGA